rnacentral:lncRNA from 1 species
CUGAGCACUGCUUGGAUAAGCCAGGUGCAAUGUGCAUUAUUGAAGGCCCUGUGGACAGCUGGGAUAGCCCAGUGAUGCCCAAGGGCCUAGUCAAAAGUGGACAAAGCACAUAUUUGGAUGGACCUGGGAGAUCCUGCUCAGAGAUUCUGACAGGACAAAGGUAAAGGAAGGGCCAGAGUGGCUGGAGAGAUGGUCACAGUCUAUGGGCUGCACAGGAUGGAGGAGGCUGGGGAACAGGCAGGGUGGGCAGUUGGGGUUCAGGGAGAGGCAGGUGCAUGCUGGGAGGUCAGACCCUGUGAGGGCUUUGGGGGCGUCAGGUUGGGUAGGCUCCAGGCACUCUCACUCACAUAGGAUUCCAGAACACUGCUACAAGGCUCUGAGUGUUUGUCCCUCACAUAGGAUUCCAGAACACUGCUGCCAUUGUCUGAAUGUUUGUCCUCCACAUAGGAUUCCAGAAGUCUGCUGCUGGGGUCUGAAUGUUUGUCCCCCAUCUAGGAUUCCAGAACACUGCUGUGAGGGUCUGAAUGUAUGUCCCUCACAUAUGAUUCUAGAAUAUUGAUGCUAGGGUCUGUAUGUUUGCCCUUAACAUAUGAUUUCAAAACACUGCUCCUGGAUUCUGAAUGUUUGUCCUUCUCAUAGGAAUACAGAACACUGCUGCUGGAGUCUGAAUGUUUGUCACUCACAUAGAAUUCCAGAACACUGCUGCGAGGAUCUGAAUGUUUGACCCUCACAUGGGAUUCCAGAACACUGCUGCGAGGGUCUAAAUGCCUGUCCCUCACAUAGGUUUCCAGCACAAUGUUACGAGGUUCUGAAUGUUUGUCCCUAACAUAGGAUUCCAGAGCACUCCUGCUGUGCUCUGAAUGCUUCUCCCUCACAUAGGAUUCCAGAACACUGCUAUGAGGGUCUGAAUGCUUAUACCUCAUAUAGGAUUCCAGAACACUCCUGCUGUGGUCUGAAUGUUUGUUCCUCACAUAGGAUUCCAGAACACUCCUGCCGUGGUCUGAAUGUUUGUCACUCACAUAGGAUUCCAGAACAUUCAUGCUGGGGUCUCAAUGUUUCCCUUAACAUAGGAUUUCAGAACACUGCUCUUGGGGUCUGCAUGUUUGUCCCUCACAUAGGAUUACAGAACACUGCUGCUGGAGUCUGAAUGUUUGUCAGUCACAUAGAAUUCCAGAACACUGCUACAAGGGUGUGAAUAUUUUUCCCUCACCUAGUAUUCCAGAACACUGUUGCAAGGGUCUGCACGUUGGUCCGUCAUAUAGGAUUCCAGAACACUGCUGCUGUGGUCUGAAUGUUUGUCCCUCACAUAAAAUUCUGGAACACUGCUACAAGGGUCUGAAUGUUUGUCCUUCACAUACCAUUCCAGAACACUGCUGCCGUGGUCUGAAUGUAUGUCCCUCACAUAGGAUUCCAGAACACUGCUACUAGGUUCUGAAUGUUUUUCCCACACCUAGGAUUCCAGAACACUUCUGCUGGUGUCUGAAUGGUUGUCCCUCACAUAUGAUUCCAGGACACUGCUAUGAGAGUCUUAAUGUUUGUCCUUCACAUAGAAUUCCAGAACACUGCUCCCGUGGUCUGAAUGUUUGUCCCUCACAUAGGAUUCCACAACACUACUGCUGGGGUCUGAAUGUUUGGCCCUCACAUAGGAUUCUAGAACACUCCAGCUGGCUUCUGAGUGUUUGUCCCUCACAUAGGAUUCCUGAAGACUGCUGCUGUCGCUAUAGUCGUUGAGAGUGUCUGAAUGUUUGACCUUCACCAAACACCAAAUAUCCUGGCCCUUUAGUCUUGUACUUUCCAGCCUCCAGAUCUGUGAACAAUAAUCUCUGUUGUUUAUGAAUUACUCAGUCUGAAGUAUUUUGUUAUAGUAGCCUAAAGAGACUAAGAGAGCAUCACCUGCCCUGUCACCUCAUCACCGCAUUACUGAAGCUAUACUAACAACAGUCACUUUUAGUGGGUACUUCAUGCAUCAGAAUAAAGGGAAAAAAUUGCAAGGCUUACUAAAAUCCAAAAAAAGAAAAAAAUACAAUUUGUGUCAACAGAGCAAGCUUCAGAAGCAGACAAAGAUAUGAUCUUGGAAUUUUUUUUUAAACCUCUGGAGAAUAUGCUAAGGGCCUAAUGAAUGAAGUAGACAGUAUUCAAGUGUAGAUGGGUAAUGUAAUGAGAAAGACAGACAUCGUAAGAACUUUCAACAUAAUGUAGUGAUGAAAAACGUGGUAAAUAACUGAAGAAUACCUCUGAUGGCUUAUUAGUAGACUGGACUCAGCUGAGUAAAAAUCUCUGAGCUUGAGGAUUUAUCAUCAGAAACUUCGAAAACUAAAGAAAAGAAACACUGAAAAGAACAGAAGAUGAUAUUCAAGACUGUGGGACAACUACAAAAGGUGAAACAGUAAUGAGAAUACCAAGAGGAGAAGAAAUAGAAGAAAGUUCUGCAACAACCAUGUCUGAGAACUUCCAGUAUUAAUGUCAGACACCAAACCAAAGAUCCAGGAAGCUCUGAGAACACCAGGCAGAAUAAAUACCAACAACCUACACUUGGACAUAUAAUUUUCAAACUAUAUGAAAUAAAAGAUAAAGGAAAACUCUGAAAGAAACCAGAGGUGGGGCAGAAAACACCUUACCUACAGAGACACAAAGAUAAGAACUGCAUUCAACAUUUCAGAAACUGUGAAAGUAAGAAGACAGUGAAAUGAAAAAUUCAAAAUGUUGACAGAAAAAACCCACCAACCUAAGUUUCUGUACCCACUGAAACCACCCUUCAAAAGUGAAGGAGAAUUAAGGCCUUCCUCAGAAAAAUAAAAAUUCAAGAAACUUGUUGCCAGGAGACCUGUCUUGCAAGAAAUGUUAAAUGAAAUUCUUUAGGGAAACAAAAGAUAUAUAACUGAAACCUGGAUCAACAUUUUUUUAAAAAGAGCAUUAAAGAAAGAAUUGUGGUACAAUAAAAACCUAUGUAUUUAUUCUUAAUUGAUCUGACCAAGAAGAUCAUAGACAAUAACAAAUACAGAUAUAUUAUGUAUGCUUAUAUACAAUUGAAAUGAGUAACACUAAUACAAGGAAUGGAAUGGAAGGAUGGUAGGGAGGAAUUAGGUGUGUUCUUUGUUAAGCAGGUAGUCUUAUUUGUGGGAUAGUGGGAUAGUGUUAUUUGAAAGUGGACUUGAAUUGGUUGUAAAUGUUACUGAGGAAUUAGGUGUUUUGUUUGUUAAGCAGGUAGUCUUAUUUGUGGGAUAGUUGGAUAGUGUUAUUUGAAAGUGGACUUGAAUUGGUUGUAAAUGUAUAUUGCAAAUUCUGUGGCAACUAGUUAAAAAAAAGUUUUAAAAAGAGAAGUAUGUACUAAGAAAGACAGGGAAAAUGGAGUCAUCUAAAAUCAUCAAUGAAAACUGCAAAAGGCAGAAAAAGAGUGGUAGACAAAAGAAUGAAGACUGAGGAGAAUGAAUAGAAAACAGUAACAAAUAUAGUAGAUAUUAAUCCAAUGAUAUCAAUAAUCACUUUGAAUGUUAAUGGUAUGAAUGUACCAAUUCAAAGGUAGAGAUUGUCAGAGUCUAUCAAAAGACAGACACAUCUUGUUUCACUGCACUUUGCUUUAUUGUGUUUUGUGACCAUGUGUUUUACGUAUUGAAGGUUUGUGGCCACCCUGCAAUAAGCAGGUCUCACUGGCACCAUUGUUCCUACAGCACGUGCUCACUUCACGUCUCUGUGUCACAUUUCGGUCAUUCUCACAGUAUUUUAAGAUUUUUAUUAUUGAAUCUGUUGUGGUGAUCUGUAAUCAGUAAUCUUUAAUGCUACUGUUGUCAUUGUUUUGGGAACCACAAAUCACACCAGGAUAAGACAGCAAACAAUUGACAAAUGCGUUUGUUCUGACUGCCCAACCAACGGGCCAUUUCUCUUUCUCUUUUUCUCAGGCUUCUUUUUAUUAAUAUUAAAAUGUGGCCAAUUAAUAACCCUACAAUAGCCUCUAUAUGUUCAUGAAAGAAGAGUUGCAUGUCUGUCACUUUAAACCAAAAGGAAGAAAUAAUUAAGCUUAGUGAGGAAGGCAUGCUGUAAGCAAGACAGGCCAGUAGCUAGACCUCAUGCAACAAACACUUAGCCAAGUUGUGAAUGCAAACGAAGUGUUCUGGAAAGAAAUUUAAAGUACUGCUCCAGUGAACACAUGAAU